CUUUAUUGGAGAGUUUGAUCCUGGCUCAGGAUGAACGCUGGCGGCGUGCCUAAUACAUGCAAGUCGAGCGAAUGGAUUAAGAGCUUGCUCUUAUGAAAUUAGCGGCGGACGGGUGAGUAACACGUGGGUAACCUGCCCAUAAGACUGGGAUAACUCCGGGAAACCGGGGCUAAUACCGGAUAACA
rnacentral:rRNA from 1 species